rnacentral:lncRNA from 1 species
AUGCUGGGCUAAGACAAGGGGCAGAGGCAGAGAGAGAGAGAGGAGCCACCCUGAGAAGGAAGAGACCAGGUGGGCUCUGAGACAGGGAGACCCUUUCUACGUCGGUGCCUUGACAUGUGACUUUUUUGUCACUUCGUGCUCCAGGAUCACACCUGGAUGAACUAUCACUUUCAAAUGACCUUGUCUUUUCUCGGGCCUUCUGAACUGAUCAUCUCUUCCUUCUGAUACAAGAGGAUCUUCCCUGGAAGACCACUGCACACCUUCUAGUAACACUGCGACCCUGGAUGCAUAUUUAGAAAAAUCUCAGCACAUCUCUGGGCAAUGAAAUCAUUCUUUUGGGACCUGACACAUGAACUGAAGUGUAAUUGGCAUUCUUCGUGGAAGGGGCAUGGAUUUAAAUUGUCAUAAUAUUCUACUUUGAAGAACACCAGUAGACCGAAGCAAGAUGACUAAUUUUUAAUGCCAAAGUAUGCAAAACCUGCCACUUCACUGGCAAGCCAUGAAUUAUUCAUAAAUAUAGACUUGGUUAAUAUCUUUAAAAAUGCA